AAAAGCUUUCUUUAAUUGAAUAAUUGAAUUUAAUUUUUUAGUGCAAAAGCAAAAAUAAAAAUUAGGGACAAGAAGACCCUAUGAAUUUUUUAUUAAAUUUUAUAAAACUUUAUAUAAAAUUUAAUUUAAUUGGGGUGAUGGAAAAAGAAUAAAUAUCUUUUUUUAAAAGAAAAUUGGUUCCGUUCUUAGCGAUUAAAUGAAAAAAAUACUCUAGGGAUAACAGCGUAAUAAUUUUGGAUAGUUCAUAUAGAUAAAAUAGUUUGCGACCUCGAUGU
rnacentral:rRNA from 1 species